rnacentral:rRNA from 1 species
AGGUAAACUAGCCUGCGCAAGCAGAGAGGAAGGUGGGGAUGACGUCAAAUCAGCACGGCCCUUACGUCCAGGGCCACACACGUGCUACAAUGGCCGAUACAGAGGGCAGCUACCUGGUGACAGGAUGCAAAUCUCGAAAGUCGGUCUCAGUUCGGAUCGGAGUCUGCAACUCGACUCCGUGAAGUUGGAUUCGCUAGUAAUCGCGCAUCAGCCAUGGCGCGGUGAAUACGUUCCCGGGCCUU